rnacentral:rRNA from 1 species
UACGUAGGGGGCUAGCGUUGUCCGGAAUCAUUGGGCGUAAAGCGCGUGUAGGCGGUCCGGUAAGUCCGCUGUGAAAGUCGGGGGCUCAACCCUCGAAUGCCGGUGGAUACUGUCGGGCUAGAGUGCGGAAGAGGCGAGUGGAAGUCUGGUGUAGCGGUGAAAUGCGCAGAUAUCGGGAGGAACACCAAUGGCGAAGGCAGCUCGCUGGGACGGUACUGACGCUGAGG